rnacentral:misc_RNA from 1 species
GCUUAAAUUACUUCAAGUCAUAGUGAACUUUAAUUUUGAUUAUGAAACAGUAUUAUUCAUGCCUGCAUUGACUUCUUGUUUUUUUUUUUAAGUGUGCGUUUUUACAUUGAUAUGAUUGAAGAUAUUGUUUGCUCAGGAGUAGGGUGAUGAUGUUUGGCAAUAGGAUAUAAAUAAUACUUAAAUUCACAUUGCUUAUAUUAAAAACAGAAACAUUGCAACUUUCCUCUUAUCUGCAAUAGCCAACCAGGGAAAAGUCGCAUGUACCCGGUAAUAAAUGUACAACUUUAUGAUAAAUACAGAUUUAAUUGGAAUUAUACAGGCCCUAUUGAUCAUUGUGUUUUCAAAUAUCAUGUGCACAAGAAUCUUCUAUACUUGUAACAUGAUAAAAGUGAUAAUUAUAAAUUUAGAUGCAGUAUUAUGAAGUAUUGUGGUGGUUGUUGACACUGUGUGCAGCUUUCCGAGGAGAUUUAGUUUGUAGUGAAAAGAACGAGUUAAUUAACUUUUUUCAUGUGUGUACAUACUCGGCAUUUUACGCAUUUUCGUCUUACUUGAAUGUUACUUGAAAUAGUUGCACAGUCUUUCAGAUAGACAGAUGAUUACAGAUAAAUAAAUGCAUUGAUAUG